CCUACGGGAGGCUGCAGUGAGGAAUAUUGGUCAAUGGACGAGAGUCUGAACCAGCCAAGUAGCGUGAAGGAUGACUGCCCUAUGGGUUGUAAACUUCUUUUAUAUGGGAAUAAAAUGUUCCACGUGUGGGUUUUUGUAUGUACCAUAUGAAUAAGGAUCGGCUAAUUCCGUGCCAGCAGCCGCGGUAAUACGGAGGAUCCGAGCGUUAUCCGGAUUUAUUGGGUUUAAAGGGAGCGUAGGUGGAUUGUUAAGUCAGUUGUGAAAGUUUGCGGCUCAACCGUAAAAUUGCAGUUGAAACUGGCAGUCUUGAGUACAGUAGAGGUGGGCGGAAUUCGUGGUGUAGCGGUGAAAUGCUUAGAUAUCGCGAAGAACUCCGAUUGCGAAGGCAGCUCACUGGACUGCAACUGACACUGAGGCUCGAAAGUGUGGGUAUCAAACAGGAUUAGAGACCCUUGUAGUC
rnacentral:rRNA from 1 species